rnacentral:rRNA from 1 species
AGCGUAGACGGUGUGGCAAGUCUGAUGUGAAAGGCAUGGGCUCAACCUGUGGACUGCAUUGGAAACUGUCAUACUUGAGUGCCGGAGGGGUAAGCGGAAUUCCUAGUGUAGCGGUGAAAUGCGUAGAUAUUAGGAGGAACACCAGUGGCGAAGGCGGCUUACUGGACGGUAACUGACGUUGAGGCCCGAAAGCGUGGGGAGCAAACA